CCUCAAAUGCUGUCCAAUGUUCCUGGCAUGCCUUUUGUGGUUCGCCCCUAGGCGCCGGGUUUCCUGGGCACCUCCAAUAUUGUUCUACAGCACCAGUCUACACCAGUACACAACCAACUUUACCACGGUCGUAUGUUGAACCUCCAAUUUCCAAAGGGAGCUGUUGCCGACCCUUACACCAUAAAAAGAAGACCAGUUUCUGAUCGGACAAGAGAAGCAACUAGAAUUGUCUUUUUUGUUUGCCUUGUUUAAAAUAGAUUUGGAUUCUUCAGUUCGAUCUAGUUAUUAAGACAAUGAAAAUGAUCCAAUUUGACCACUGUACAU
rnacentral:lncRNA from 1 species